rnacentral:rRNA from 1 species
AGAGUUUGAUCCUGGCUCAGGACGAACGCUAGCGGCGUGCCUAAUGUAUGCAAGUCGAGCGGGGUAACGAGCUUCGGCUCGUUAUUCAGCGGCAAACGGUUGAGUAACACGUAGGCAACCUGCCCCAGAGACGGGGAUAGCCCGCCGAAAGGCGGAUUAAUACCGGAUGUGGCCGGGGAAGACAUCUUCCUUGUGCUAAAGGUGGUGACACGCUCUGGGAUGGGCCUGCGGCCUAUCAGCUUGUUGGUGGGGUAACGGCCUACCAAGGCGACGACGGGUAGCUGGUCUGAGAGGAUGAUCAGCCAGACAGGGACUGAGACACGGCCCUGACUCCUUUGGGGGGCAGCAAUGAGGGAUAUUGCACAAUGGGCGAAAGCCUGAUGCAGCGACGCCGCGUGGGUGACGAAGUUCUUCGGAAUGUAAAGCCCUUUUCUCGGGGAAGAGAACGGACGGUACCCGAGGAAUAAGCCCCGGCUAACUACGUGCCAGCAGCCGCGGUAAUACGUAGGGGGCAAGCGUUGUCCGGAAUUACUGGGCGUAAAGCGCGUGUAGGCGGGACGGCAAGUCGGUCGUGAAAGGCUUCGGCUCAACCGGAGAUGGCCGAUCGAAACUGCCGUUCUUGAGGGUCGAAGAGGAGAGUGGAAUUCCUGGUGUAGCGGUGAAAUGCGUAGAGAUCAGGAGGAACACCCAUGGCGAAGGCAGCUCUCUGGUCGACCUCUGACGCUGAGACGCGAAAGCGUGGGGAGCGAACGGGAUUAGAUACCCCUGUAGUCC